rnacentral:rRNA from 1 species
UUAUCGCCGAUCGCCUUGAGUUGAUCAUGGCUCAGAAUCAACGCUGGCGGCGUGCCUAACACAUGCAAGUCGAGCGCGAAAGGGGGGCAACUCCCAAGUAGAGUGGCAAACGGGUGAGUAACACGUGGGUGAUCUGCCUCAGAGUGGGGGAUAACGACCCGAAAGGGUCGCUAAUACCGCAUAACAUCCUGCCUUUGGAUAGGUGGAGAUCAAAGCUAGGGAUCGCAAGACCUGGCGCUUGGAGAGGAGCCCGCGGCCGAUUAGCUAGUUGGUGAGGUAAUGGCUCACCAAGGCAACGAUCGGUAUCCGGCCUGAGAGGGCGGACGGACACACUGGGACUGAGACACGGCCCAGACUCCUACGGGAGGCAGCAGUGGGGAAUUGUUCGCAAUGGGCGCAAGCCUGACGACGCAACGCCGCGUGGAGGACGAAGAUCUUCGGGUCGUAAACUCCUUUCGAUCGGGAAGAACGGCUCCGGGGUGAAUAGCCCCGGGGAGUGACGGUACCGAGAGAAGAAGCCCCGGCUAACUCUGUGCCAGCAGCCGCGGUAAUACAGGGGGGGCAAGCGUUGUUCGGAAUUACUGGGCGUAAAGGGCUCGUAGGCGGCCAACUAAGUCACACGUGAAAUCCCCAGGCUUAACCUGNGAACUGCGUGUGAUACUGGAUGGCUUGAAUUCGGGAGAGGGAUGCAGAAUUCCAGGUGUAGCGGUGAAAUGCGUAGAUAUCUGGAGGAAUACCGGUGGGCGAAGCGGCAUCCUGNACGACAUUGACGCUGAAGAGCA